AUUGAACGCUGGCGGCAUGCCUUACACAUGCAAGUCGAACGGUAACAGGUCUUCGGAUGCUGACGAGUGGCGAACGGGUGAGUAAUACAUCGGAACGUGCCCGAUCGUGGGGGAUAACGAAGCGAAAGCUUUGCUAAUACCGCAUAAGAUCUACGGAUGAAAGCAGGGGACCGCAAGGCCUUGCGCGAACGGAGCGGCCGAUGGCAGAUUAGGUAGUUGGUGGGAUAAAAGCUUACCAAGCCGACGAUCUGUAGCUGGUCUGAGAGGACGACCAGCCACACUGGGACUGAGACACGGCCCAGACUCCUACGGGAGGCAGCAGUGGGGAAUUUUGGGCAAUGGGCGAAAGCCUGAUUCAGCCAUGCCGCGUGCAGGAUGAAGGCCUUCGGGUUGUAAACUGCUUUUGUACGGAACGAAAAGACUCUGGUUAAUACCUGGGGUCCAUGACGGUACCGUAAGAAUAAGCACCGGCUAACUACGUGCCAGCCGCCGCUGUAAAAC
rnacentral:rRNA from 1 species